AAAUUGAAGAGUUUGAUCAUGGCUCAGAUUGAACGCUGGCGGCAGGCCUAACACAUGCAAGUCGAGCGGUAGCACAGAGAGCUUGCUCUCGGGUGACGAGCGGCGGACGGGUGAGUAAUGUCUGGGAAACUGCCUGAUGGAGGGGGAUAACUACUGGAAACGGUAGCUAAUACCGCAUAACGUCGCAAGACCAAAGUGGGGGACCUUCGGGCCUCAUGCCAUCAGAUGUGCCCAGAUGGGAUUAGCUAGUAGGUGGGGUAACGGCUCACCUAGGCGACGAUCCCUAGCUGGUCUGAGAGGAUGACCAGCCACACUGGAACUGAGACACGGUCCAGACUCCUACGGGAGGCAGCAGUGGGGAAUAUUGCACAAUGGGCGCAAGCCUGAUGCAGCCAUGCCGCGUGUGUGAAGAAGGCCUUCGGGUUGUAAAGCACUUUCAGCGGGGAGGAAGGCGGUGAGGUUAAUAACCUCACCGAUUGACGUUACCCGCAGAAGAAGCACCGGCUAACUCCGUGCCAGCAGCCGCGGUAAUACGGAGGGUGCAAGCGUUAAUCGGAAUUACUGGGCGUAAAGCGCACGCAGGCGGUCUGUCAAGUCGGAUGUGAAAUCCCCGGGCUCAACCUG
rnacentral:rRNA from 1 species